CACUCAUAUGGAGAGAGUUGUCC
rnacentral:snRNA from 1 species